UAAGGAAUAUUGCACAAUGGGCGAAAGCCUGAUGCAGCAACGCCGCGUGCGCGAUGAAGGCCUUCGGGUCGUAAAGCGCUUUUCUGGGGGAAGAGUAAGGACGGUACCUCAGGAAUAAGUCUCGGCUAACUACGUGCCAGCAGCCGCGGUAACACGUAGGAGACAAGCGUUAUCCGGAUUUAUUGGGCGUAAAGGGCAUGUAGGCGGGCUCUUAAGUCGGAUGUGAAAUCUCUUGGCUUAACCGGGGGAGGUCAUUCGAUACUGGGAGUCUUGAGGACAGGAGAGGGAAGUAGAAUUCCCGGUGUAGUGGUGGAAUACGUAGAUAUCGGGAGGAAUACCAGUGGCGAAAGCGGCUUCCUGGCCUGUGCCUGACGCUGAUAUGCGAAAGCGUGGGUAGCAAACGG
rnacentral:rRNA from 1 species